UACGUAUGGUGCAAGCGUUAUCCGGAUUUACUGGGUGUAAAGGGAGCGCAGGCGGUGCGGCAAGUCUGAUGUGAAAGCCCGGGGCUCAACCCCGGUACUGCAUUGGAAACUGUCGUACUAGAGUGUCGGAGGGGUGAGCGGAAUUCCUAGUGUAGCGGUGAAAUGCGUAGAUAUUAGGAGGAACACCAGUGGCGAAGGCGGCUUACUGGACGAUAACUGACGCUGAGGCUCGAAAGCGUGGGGAGCAAACAGG
rnacentral:rRNA from 1 species